AUAGGAUCAUGCCACGUGUCAAGU
rnacentral:siRNA from 1 species